GACGAACGCUGGCGGCGUGCCUAAUACAUGCAAGUAGGACGCAGUUGCGAACGGGUGAGUAACGCGUCGGUAACUGCCUAUUAGAGGGGGAUAACUAUUGGAAACGAUAGCUAAUACCGCAUACUAGUAGAUGGACCUGCGUUGUAUUAGCUAGUAGGUAGGGUAAUGGCCUACCUAGGGGGCGAUACAUAGCCGACCCGUGUGGGGGAUCGGCCACCACGGGACUGAGACACGGCCCAGAAUCCCACGGGAGGAAGCAGUAGGGAAUCUUCGGCAAUGGGGGGAACCCUGACCGAGCAACGCCGCGUGAGUGAAGAAGGUUUUCGGAUCGUAAAGCUCUGUUGUUAAGGAAGCGGUACUUAACCAGAAAGGGACGGCUAACUACGUGCCAGCAGCCGCGGUAAUAC
rnacentral:rRNA from 1 species